rnacentral:rRNA from 1 species
AGAACGAACGCUGGCGGCAGGCUUAACACAUGCAAGUCGAACGCACCGCAAGGUGAGUGGCAGACGGGUGAGUAACGCGUGGGAACCUACCCUUUGGUUCGGAAUAACUCAGGGAAACUUGAGCUAAUACCGGAUAAGCCCUUCGGGGGAAAGAUUUAUCGCCAUAGGAUGGGCCCGCGUCGGAUUAGCUAGUUGGUGGGGUAACGGCCUACCAAGGCAACGAUCCGUAGCUGGUCUGAGAGGAUGAUCAGCCACACUGGGACUGAGACACGGCCCAGACUCCUACGGGAGGCAGCAGUGGGGAAUAUUGGACAAUGGGCGAAAGCCUGAUCCAGCCAUGCCGCGUGAGUGAAGAAGGCCUUAGGGUUGUAAAGCUCUUUCAGCGGGAAGAUAAUGACGGUACCCGCAGAAGAAGCCCCGGCUAACUUCGCGCCAGCAGCCGC